rnacentral:rRNA from 1 species
UGGGGAAUAUUGGACAAUGGGGGCAACCCUGAUCCAGCCAUGCCGCGUGAGUGAUGAAGGCCUUCGGGUUGUAAAGCUCUUUUGGCGGGGACGAUGAUGACGGUACCCGCAGAAUAAGCCCCGGCUAACUUCGUGCCAGCAGCCGCGGUAAGACGAAGGGGGCUAGCGUUGUUCGGAAUUACUGGGCGUAAAGCGAGUGUAGGUGGUUGUCCAAGUUGGAUGUGAAAGCCUUGAGCUCAACUCAAGAAAUGCAUUCAGGACUGGGCGGCUAGAGGACCGGAGAGGAUAGUGGAAUUCCCAGUGUAGUGGUGAAAUACGUAGAGAUUGGGAAGAACACCAGUGGCGAAGGCGGCUAUCUGGACGGUUUCUGACACUAAGACUCGAAAGCGUGGGGAGCAAACAGGAUUAGAUACCCUGGUAGUCCACGCCGUAAACGAUGGGUGCUAGACGUUGGCGAGCUUGCUCGUCAGUGUCGCAGCUAACGCGUUAAGCACCCCG